GGGGAAUAUUGCGCAAUAAGCGAAAGCCUGACGCAGCAACACCGCGUGAGGGAUGAAGUACGUCGAGAUGUAAACCUCUUUCAGCAGGGACAAAGCGAAAGUGACGGUACCUGCAGAAGAAGCACCGGCUAACUACGUGCCAGCAGCCGCGGUAAUACGUAAAGCGCAAGCGUUGUCCGGAUUUAUUGGGCGUAAAAGGCUCGUAGGCGGUCUGUCACGUCGGAUGUGAAAACUCGGAGCUCAACUCCGGGCCUGCAUUCGAUACGGGCAGACUAGAGUUCGGUAGGGAAGACUGAAACUCCUGGUGUAGCGGUGGAAUGCGCAGAUAUCAGGAAGAACACCGAUGGCGAAGGCAGGUCUCAGGGCCGACACUGACGCUGAGGAGCGAAAGCGUGGGGAGCGAAC
rnacentral:rRNA from 1 species